rnacentral:rRNA from 1 species
UACGAAGGGGGCUAGCGUUGCUCGGAAUUACUGGGCGUAAAGCGCACGUAGGCGGCUUCUUAAGUCGGUGGUGAAAUCCUGGAGCUCAACUCCAGAACUGCCUCGAUACUGGGAGCUCGAGUCCGGGAGAGGUGAGUGGAACUGCGAGUGUAGAGGUGAAAUUCGUAGAUAUUCGCAAGAACACCAGUGGCGAAGGCGGCUCACUGGCCCGGUACUGACGCUGAGGUGGCGAAAGCGUGGGGAGCAAACAGGG